UCUCUCCCCUCACAUGCCUUUGGUACCUCCACCCUCUUCUCUCCCAUGCCGUUGGUAAUUAUCUUUCUCUUAUCUUUCUCUGGGUUUGAUUUCAUUUUUAUUUGCACAAAUCGAUUUCCCAAAUACUCUAAUUUGCUGAUUCAAAUGGCUUUGAGAGAGCUUGAGGCGAAAGAUUAGGGUUUCAAAAUGAGAUGGAUCGGGGCUCGCAUUCAUUUGACUUGGACGAUGUUGAGGAAGGGUUUAUCAGUUUGAGCAUCAAUGGAACCUACUGCUAAAGCAAGGAGGCAGUCAGGCAGGACAUGUCGAGGAGUGAAAAUUGAGAGUGGUCUCUCUGUCCCCACCCCAACCACUGUCACCAGUUCCUGAAGGCGGUUCUCCUAGGGGCUUUGUUUCCGACAAUGGGCAUUUUAGUGCUUCGACUUUCUGAGUCUGCCGUUGGGUCAAGAUUAUUUCCUGAAUCUAAUGAAAAAUCUACAGAGAUUUCUUGGAGCUGGCACUGCAGUAUGGAAAAAUUGGGCUGUGGAAUCCUGUUGGUAUUACUCAGAUGGUGAAGUGUGUCAUACAAAUCAAGACCGAGUUAGUUGUCAACUAACUCGUUUUGCAUCUGAAAUUGAAGGGCUUGGUGCAAGGUUAUUUCUCUAGAUCUUUCCGAGCUGCAAAAUUUAUCUAUUUCCGAGCUGCCCUUCCCAGAAAAUCACAUUAUGGAGGCUAUUGUUGAGUUGCUUGAGGAAGAAAAUGUCCACAUUCCUUCAUGGAUCUGCUUUAGCUCUGUCGAUGGCAAGCACGCCUCAUUGGGAGAAUUCGAAGAAUCUCUUAAUAUUAUCAAUAAGAGUACAAAGGUUACGAUUAAUUGUAGGAAUAAACUGUGCACCACCACUCUAUGUUGAUGGUCUAAUUCCCAAAUUUAAGAAGACAAGUUGAUAGCAGUUUAUCCGAACAAUGGCGAGAUAUGGGAUGGCAAAGCAAAGAGAUGGUUGCCACCCCAACGUAACCUACCCUGUUGACCUAUAAUAUAAAGAUCUUCUGAUGCUGGUUGCUUUGGAACGUUGGAUAGGAAAAGAAGGACUUGUAACAUACUAAUCAAAAGGGAAUUUCGGUAUGGGGUUGGAUCAUCAGUCCAUGUGAUGACUCCCCUUACUAGUAAAGGGAUGCUAUGGGUACUGCUCUCGUUAUCAUCGGCGGAUAUGUCUCUUUUCUUUGUGUGGCUCUUUCUCUACUGUUAUAGAAUUGGCUCUUUUCUUAAUUAAUGAAUUCUUAAUGGGAGAGAACACCAGGCUAGGGAUGUCUCAUAUGUCAGUAGCAGUGAACAUGACAGCAAGGCCAGGUGGGCGAACAUUCUUCUUGCCUGGUCUUUUUUAUUUAUAGGUAUGUUAAUGUUCCGAAGGACGGUGAUUUUGGAUUAUUAGCUUUAAGAUGGUCAAGAGAUUGGCUAUUCGUCACUCCACUCCUUUUCUUCCAUGCUAUGAAAAACCCAAGAAGUAGCUGCUGAUGCUGCUGAUUUAUUCGUUGCGUAUCGUGGCUGCUACUGAUUUAUCUGUCGAUGUUGCUGAUUUAUUCAUUGCGUAUUCCGAUCAGCUGAUGCAACCUGAUUUCUCAGUUUGUUUUAACAAUAAUAUAGGUCUCCCCUUUCUUUAAUCUUAUUUCUCAACCUUAGUUUUUAAUUUUUCUAUUUGUGUUUUUCUUUUCAAAAUAGGUGUCAAAUAGCUUGUAUUCAUUCACAUGUGAUCAGGUUGUAAAUAGAGAAAGGAAAAUGUUGUAAAUGGGAGACCUACAUUGUUGUUAAAAAUGAUUUGACUACUUUUAAUACCCUAUACAUGGGUUUCAGAGGGAAGAAAGGAGAGUCCCGAAGGUCCAUGACAAUGCAGAUACUAUAAGGAAGGCUUUAAAUCUCGGAGUUAGUGUGAAAAUUAUUACUGGUGGUCAACUAGCAGUAGGAAAAGAAACUGGUCGUCGCUUGGGCAUGGGUACCAACAUGUGACAUUUUAAUAUAAUCCAGAGCAUAAAUAUGAAAUUGUCAAGUGAUUGCAAGCUCAGAAAUAUAUUUGUGGAAUGACUGGUGAUGAAGUGGAUGAUGCCCCAACUCUUAAGAAGGCUGUCAUUGGGGUAGUUGUUGCUGAUGCAGCAGAUGUUGCCGUAGUGCUUCAGAUAUUGUGGUCUCUGCCUUUUCAUUAGUGUUGUAUUCACAAGUAGAGCAAUCUUACAGAGAAAGAAAAAUCACACUAUAUGUUUUAUCUUAGAAACAUAACCCAAUUUAAUUUCUUUCUUCAAAUCUUAUAGUCCUCUUUGUACGAAGUAUAUAUUUUGCAAGAUACUCCAUUUCACAACCAAUCAAAGGUUUACAUGACAGAC